AGCAGCCGCGGUAAUUCCAGCUCCAAUAGCGUAUAUUAAAGUUGUUGCAGUUAAAAAGCUCGUAGUUGAAUUUCGGGAUUGACACAUCGGUCGUGCCUUAAGGGGUAUGAACUGGUGUAGUCAAUUUCUCACCUUCUGGAGAACCGCGAUGCCCUUAAUUGGGUGUCGCGGGGAACCAGGACCUUUACUUUGAAAAAAUUAGAGUGUUUAAAGCAGGCAUUUUGCUUGAAUACAUUAGCAUGGAAUAAUAAAAUAGGACGGCAUGAUUCUAUUUUGUUGGUUUCUAGGAUCACCGUAAUGAUUAAUAGGGAUAGUUGGGGGCAUUAGUAUUCAAUUGUCAGAGGUGAAAUUCUUGGAUUUAUUGAAGACUAACUACUGCGAAAGCAUUUGCCAAGGAUGUUUUCAUUAAUCAAGAACGAAAGUUAGGGGAUCGAAGACGAUCAGAUACCGUCGUAGUCUUAACCAUAAACUAUGCCGACUAGGGAUCGGGCGAUGUUGUUUCCAUGACUCGCUCGGCACC
rnacentral:misc_RNA from 1 species